GUCUGUGGCCAUGCCACCCUGAAUAAGCCCGAUCCCAUCUAAUUUCAGAAGCUAAGCAGGGUCAAGUCUGGUUAGUACUUGGAUGGGAGACCAUGUAGGAAGACCAGGUGCUGUAGGUG
rnacentral:rRNA from 1 species